ensembl:snoRNA
AGCACUUGCGUUUGCUUUUGUUUCAUUUGUGGGCAAAGACUUAGACAAGAACCCGAGGUAAGUCCUGUCUUGCGGCCCAGAACUCACUAUUCAGUCUGACUGUUGAUACGGAAAAGAAGGAACACG